UACGAAGGGGGCUAGCGUUGUUCGGAAUUACUGGGCGUAAAGCGCGCGCAGGCGGUCCUUCAAGUCAGAGGUGAAAGCCCAGAGCUCAACUCUGGAACGGCCUUUGAGACUAGAGGACUUGGGUACGGGAGAGGUGAGUGGAAUUCCGAGUGUAGAGGUGAAAUUCGUAGAUAUUCGGAAGAACACCAGUGGCGAAGGCGGCUCACUGGCCCGUUACCGACGCUCAGGCGCGACAGCGUGGGGAGUAAACAGG
rnacentral:rRNA from 1 species